GAUGAACGCUGGCGGCGUACCUAAUACAUGCAAGUCGAGCGAACAGAUGAGGAGCUUGCUCCUCUGACGUUAGCGGCGGACGGGUGAGUAACACGUGGAUAACCUACCUAUAAGACUGGGAUAACUUCGGGAAACCGGAGCUAAUACCGGAUAAUAUAUUGAACCGCAUGGUUCAAUAGUGAAAGACGGUUUUGCUGUCACUUAUAGAUGGAUCCGCGCCGCAUUAGCUAGUUGGUAAGGUAACGGCUUACCAAGGCAACGAUGCGUAGCCGACCUGAGAGGGUGAUCGGCCACACUGGAACUGAGACACGGUCCAGACUCCUACGGGAGGCAGCAGUAGGGAAUCUUCCGCAAUGGGCGAAAGCCUGACGGAGCAACGCCGCGUGAGUGAUGAAGGUCUUCGGAUCGUAAAACUCUGUUAUUGGGGAAGAACAAAUGUGUAAGUAACUAUGCACGUCUUGACGGUACCUAAUCAGAAAGCCACGGCUAACUACGUG
rnacentral:rRNA from 1 species